GUUUCAUUUAAAAUUAAUUAGAAUUUUAUUUUUUAGUUAAAAAGCUAAAAUAUAUUCAAAAGACGAGAAGACCCUAUAAAUCUUGAUUAUUUAGUAAUUUUUAAUUUAUUUUGAUUUUUUUUAUUAUAAAUUUAUUAAUUAAUUUUAUUGGGGUGAUAUUAAAAUUUAAAUAACUUUUAAUAAUUUUUGUCAUUUAUUUAUGAUUAAGUGAUCCAUUAUUAGUGAUUAAAAAAUUAAGUUACUUUAGGGAUAACAGCGUAAUUUUUUUGGAGAGUUCUUAUCGAUAAAAAAGUUUGCGACCUCGAUGUUGGAUUAAGAUUCAUAUUUAAAUGCAGAAGUUUAAAUAUAAAGUCUGUUCGACUUUUUAUUCUUACAUGAUCUGAGUUCAAACCGGUGUAAGCCAGGUUGGUUUCUAUCUUUGAUUUAAUAAAAUAUUUUAGUACGAAAGGAAUUAAUAUUUAUUUUUAAAAAAUUAAUUUAUGAAU
rnacentral:rRNA from 1 species